rnacentral:rRNA from 1 species
GACCUCAAGUCAUGUGAGAGUACCCGCUGAACUUAAGCAUAUCAAUAAGCGGAGGAAAAGAAACUAACAAGGAUUCCCCUAGUAACGGCGAGUGAAGCGGGAAGAGCACAAAUUUAAAAUCUACCUGGUUUUCAGGUCGAGUUGUAAUUUGAAGAAACGUUUUUGACGUUCCGAGUUGGGAUAAAUCCUUUGGGAUAAGGUAUCAUGGAGGGUGAGAAUCCCGUGUAUACCAACCGCAGGGAUGUUAUUUAAUACGUUUUCUAAGAGUCGAGUUGUUUGGGAAUGCAGCUCUAAAUGGGUGAUAAAUUUCACCUAAUGCUAAAUAUAAGCGAGAGACCGAUAGCGAACAAGUACCGUGAGGGAAAGAUGAAAAGAACUUUGAAAAGAGAGUUAAAUAGUACGUGAAAUUGUUGAAAGGGAAACGAUUGAAGUCAGUCAUGCCGGCGGGAAUCAACUUAGGGGAAACUCUAAGUGCACUUCACGUUUGGCAGGUCAGCGUCGAUUUUAGAUAUCAUAAAUUGAUUGGGGGAAGGUAGCUCCUUCGGGAGUGUUAUAGCCCUUGAUAGAUGUGAUGUCUGGGAUCGAGGAUUGCAACGGAUACCCUCUGGGCUAGCCGCCUGAUCUCUAACUGGUGUUGGGUUACGGACAGCAUGCUGACCGUGAUUUAAUUACUGGUUAAAAGGUUAGAGUGAGUGUAAAUUCGUUAAGGACGUUGACGUAAUGGCUUUAAACGACCCGUCUUGAAACACGGACCAAGGAGUCUAACAUGUAUGCGAGUGUUAGGGUAUUAAACCCAGACGCGAAAUGAAAGUGAGUGUAGGUGGGAUCCUUUAUUGGAGCACCAUCGACCGAUCUUGAGAUUUUAUCGAUAGAAUUGAGUUAGAGC